rnacentral:lncRNA from 1 species
GGGCGGUGGGGGUAAAGCAGAAGUGUGAAUCAAUAGGAACUAAGCACGUGGAUACCUGUCGGCUGAUGAGAACGAAAGGCUGAAAAGAAAGGUCCCACAGCGCACCGACUUUGUCAAAGCAUAGAUGGAUGAAUUAAUUAAAGGAUUGUACUUCAAUGAAUGCUUCUCUCUCUCCUUUUUGUUUUUUUUGACAAUUUGUAUCUUUGGAUCGAUCCUUAUGACAGUUAACUUUUUCAAGAAUUUUCAGCUCAAAAUGAGAUGAUCAGAUGCAUAAUUAAGUCUAAGUGAUCUUUUGACAUAUGACUGCUACAAGUAAGUGCAUGCUUAGGGUUCUUCUCAAUUAUAUUCUUGCUAAAUUUUUAAUUUGUUUUUUAACACUUGAGAAUAACAAUACAAAAGAAAAAAGUUUUUCGAAGUAUGAAUCUUAAAACUGAAAAAAAGUAUAUCAAUGAAAAAACAAGCUUUUUUAAUCAACAAACUUACCAUUGAUUUUAUAAAUACCGCGCAUACAACAAUAGAAAAAAAUUCAUAACAUAAGAUGUGCAAUCAAAGAUUAAUUAAUGUAAAAGUCAUGAUUAGGAUUAUAAGUUAAUUUUCAAUGCUUGAAAAGGUGUGUAUUUUCGGGUGUCAUGAUUUUCUAACAUAGAAAUGAAAAUAUAUUGUUUGUGUUUAAUAAAAUAAAUUAAAAAAAUAUAUGAACCAACAAAUAAAAAAUAAUUAUUAAAGUUAAUUAAAUAUUAAAGUGAAAAGCUGAUAAUUCUAGUAGAGUAAAAAUUAAAUACAGAUAUAAAUAUUUAACCCUGAUUGUCCUUUGUAUUUUAUAUAUUUUUAUUUAUUAUAUAUUAAAAGUUGAUUCUAGCAGUUAAGGAUAAUUUUUUUUUUAAAAAAAUACAUCACAUAAAUAUAAUUUAUUUAUAUAAACUAUAAAAUGAAAAAAAAAUUACAAUUAUCUCCUUAAAGCAUUAUAAAUAUUUUUUAAAAAAACUGUUAAAAAUAUGAAAAAGGUUAACCAAACAAUUUUAAAAAAAAUAAGAGAUAAAGUAUUCAUUAAAAUUUAAAUAGAAGCAUUAAUUAAAAGUUAAAAAAUGAGUUCAGUAUACUGCUAGGACCUUAUAGUCUAGGUCCAUGCAUUUUAUUUUUUUUGGUUUUAGAUGGUGUCAUUUGCUCCAAUUAUUUUCUUGAGAGGGUGAAAUUGGGAUUAAAAAAUUUCAAUGACGAGAAUGCAAGAAACAAAAUGGGUUUCACACUGUUCAUAUACUAAAACAAAAUGGGAUUUCACUGUAUAUGAACUGAACAGUGAAAUCCCAUUUUGUUUUAGCAUAUGCAACAAUAAUUUCUAUUAUCAUCAUGUCCAAUUCAACUUCAAGCAUUGAUGCACUUUUCCUGUUAGAAAUUAUCAACUCUGUCCCUUCAAGUAUGAUAAAAUGUUGCUUCAUGGUUUCUCACCAUCUCUGCAUAUUGGUUUGUGCUAAACAUAACAUGGUACAGAGUGAGAGAAGAACAAUUAUCAAUAUUAAAAGAUUGCAUAUCAAAUCUCCACACUGGAAACCACUUGCUCACAACAUUUGUGAUCCCUGCAGCUUCAAUGGCAUGAUUGAUCUUGGGAACAGUUGGCUUAUUAUCAACAAAAUGAGAGCUAAGCAAUGCAUCUUCGAAACAAGAAAUUUACACAAAAGAAAAACAUUUCAGCUGAUAAACACAUAUAAAGAUCUUUUCCAAGAAAGCUUACUAUCAAAAAUCUGAAAAAAAGCAUAAUGUUGGAUUAUCAAUCAAUGAAGUUCCAUAGAGAACAAUUGCAGCAAAUCCCCCUUGCAAUGAUAUGAGAAACAAAUAACAUUCUUCAAGUUUCAACAGGUUUUACUGCAAGAGAUUGAAGGCAAUGCAAGAAGCCUGUGUACACAGAUACAAAAUCCAUUCACAAAAAAUCUUUCAUCGUGCAUGGAUAAGCCAUCAACGAAGCUAUAAACAGUAUUGGCAUCUUGGAAAGAUACAGAGAUACCAACCACCUGUUAUGAAACCCAACCUAUAGAAACAUUUUUCUUAAAAACGAGAAAUGCAAGAAAUCUGAUAAAAAGAAUCCAAAUUCUCACUACAAGAAAUAUGAUUUGUGUGUGAGGAAAAGAAGUGAAACCUGGAAAGUUAAUGAUUUAGAGUGUAGAAACUUCUGAAAAAAUCAUUUCAUUUUACUAAUAUUUUCUUCAUUGUUAAAAAGUGCUUGUGGUGAUUGCUCUUGUAGAUAUUCGUGACUUGAAUGGAUCCAAGUUAUUCAUAUCAAGUCCUUGAAAUUUCUGGAGGUUUUAUAGCUUUUCGUUAUGUUUAUAAGGUGCUUCCUCGCUCCUAUUGUUCUCUCUUUUUCGCUAUGGAUUAACCCAACUUUUUUCAUCUUAUUCCACUAUGAAAUUUGUUUUUACUGCAGUUCAUCCUUUUGCAGUGUUACAUCUAUAUUCUCUUCUUCCAAGGCGACAUGGCAGCUCCCCUGUCAUGUCUUCCUGCUUUUAACUAUCACUCAAACUCCACAUGUAUUCGUGUACUGCAAGGAAAAGGCAUACCAAACCUUCAAAAUAAAAUAAAAUCUGGUGCAAGGACAAAAAAGAAUUCUGAGGCAAAACAUGCCAUUAACCCAUUUUUAAUGGGUUAAAAGCAUAAAUCCAUAAAUAGAAUCCCAACUUUUUUCUUCGAUAAAUGGUAUAUGAUAUCUUUACAAAUUUGCCACCAACAAUCCACAAAUACUUUGUUCAUAAGAAAACAGAACCAUUUUUCAUUCACUAACGAUUAGAGAGACAAGGUUUCAUGCAUUCCUGGAAUUGUUAAGGCCAAGCAUCUCAGGCUAGCUCUUGAAUUUCAAACAUGACCACAACAUGAUAUACAGUAAAUUGCAACUCAAUCAUCUUAGCUGAAUAAUCUGUAAUUGACUAACAUGCAUCUAAAGGGUAUAUGAAGUUGAAUUAGACCGCAUGCAAGCUCUAAUACCAGAAAUCCUGAAUAGCAACAUCAUUAGACUUAGAUACACAACCAACAUCAUUAAUCGACGCAGCUAACUAAUAGAAACAUGCUAGUAAAUUAAUCGCGCCACCAAUCUGAGAAAAUACAUUAAGGCUUAAUUGGAUGAUGGUAAGGAAUAGAUAGCGUGCAAGCUACAUGCAUUCUUGAGAGUAAGGGCUCGAACAAGGCUUAAGCAGAUGCUCCUAUAGAAAAUGCCAAAAAUGAAUUCAAUAAUUAGUUGCAAUUAAGAAAUCGAUUACUUCCUCUUCUUCAUUGAUUCAAGUAAUGCUUGAAAAUGUUGAAUCAUACCAGUGAACAUAAGCAACCACUUCCUCUGGUUAUGAGUGAUCACAUCACUCUAUAUAGCCAACUAAGACCCCCACAUCCUUCUAUUGUAUGGUUCACUACUCUUCAUCUUUCUUUACAAGAAACUUUUGCAAUAGGACUGUAUUCAACUAUAUCAAUUAUUAAUGUGCAAUAUACUCGAACAUUUCACCUUCCCUUUUCUUCUCAUACAAAUUAUGCAAUACCUCUGGUUAAAAUAGAAAAAAAUGUAUACCUCUGCGGUGAAUUCGAUAUUGUAAUAUCCGAUCCAAAUCUUUUCUAUUGUAUCUGAACUCGAGUAAUAUAUUGUUCAACUUGGACCAGCUCUGCGCAUCAUAUGGUUUAACUUAAAAUAAUCUUUACUCGGUUGGUUUAAUGCAAAGUAAUUUGAAAGAUAUUAAAAACUUCAAAUUGAGAUUAUUCAAAGGGAGGAUCCUAAAUGGAAGCCUUCUCUCUUAUCUGCCAUUUCUUAAAUUAAAUUCAAUGGCCGCUUCGGAUAUGAUCUCAAACUGAUUUGGAAUGGCUUUAUUAUUGCCAGUAAUAGUAGGCAAAUAACUCUGAGAUUGACUUGAUGCGUUGUCAACAUUUCCAUCUUGUCUAUUCCUUUUCAAAGGAUUCUAUAAUCUCUGCAAUGGUAACAUUAUUUUGUAGAGUAGAAUCUCCAGCUACAACCUUAUUGUUUUUGGACUGGUAGAAAACUCAGGAGGAACAGAACAGAUGUUCAUUUCCAUCAUAUCAGUACAACUUAGUGGUAACGUUUUCCCAACUAAGCAUUCCCAAAUUUAUUUCAAAACAAACCAAAAAUAGCAGCAACCUUCCCCGUCCUCUGCCUGCCAAGCUCUUGAAUCAGAAACUGUAUUUCCUUCUUGCAAAACAAAAUAACUUAAAAAGGGCAUCAAAAUCCAACCGUGAGACUGCCAUUGCCAACAUAAGAUCAAGCUGGCAUUUAAUGAGCCUCCAUACGUUAAGGAAAAACUUACCUGCAAAUUACAAAAAGCAUGUACCUAGUACAUCACAACAGGUUCUCUCCUUAUUACUAGUGUCUUUGACUGCUAAAUUUAUGAAGUACAUAUCAGAAUAGACCUUAAAUAGAUCCGAGUGACUAACCCGAACAAACUCAAAGCUAUGAGUUACAAUAUAUUUUUACUUUGAAGCAUGCUAGAGCUAUCUUAUGAUAUACAGAUACGGUAUAUGGUGUUAGUGAGAGAAUGUGAUUUGUGAGUGGUAUUUUUUGAAAAUAUCUCCGUGAGGUGAAAUAAAUGCUUUCUUCUACAUAAAUUAUAUUUUUCAAAUCAUAUUUUUUUAAUUAACUAGAAUUCCAAGUUGACCAGGGAAUUAUUGUCUGAUGACCAAUUUUAUAAUGGCUGCUAUAUUUAUCUUGUAAAUCCCAAAAAACAAAUUGUGCUAAUCAGGUAUUUAGAAAUAAAAUGGAUCCAAAUUGUAUAGAUACGAGGAUAUGUUUUUUUCAUUUUAUUUAGUUAGUGUUUUAUAACAGAAAAGAUAAAAAAUAUAUUUAAUUGAAAAAACAUGAAUAAAAAUAAAAAUAAAUCUACUCUAAGAUAAUUUUGAAAUAAAUUAUAUACUUUCAAAACAAAAAAUACAUAAAAAUAUGUCGCAUUUAUCCACUAUCUCCAUCUUUUCUAUUUUGAGACAGUAAUCAAAUACUACUACAAUUUAGACAUUGAGAAGUAAAGCUAGGGUUAGAUGAUUUAUAAUAUGUAGGAAGUUAAUAUUAAAAGUUUUAUUCAAAGAAUUGACAACACUACUACUAAGAUAUAGAAGAUAAUAGGUUAGUGUUUGAUUAUUGUCCCGGAACAAAAAAGAUAGAGACAAUGAUAAUAGAGGAAAGAAGAUAGAAUAAGAGAUAAAGAUAAAAUUAUAUUUGAUAGUAGCAUACAAGACUACCUUUAUAUCUUAUUUUGUUGAUUGUAAACAAGACAUAAUAAAAUAUAAAAACUCUAUUUUAUUUUUAAUAUGUAUUAUUGUCAAAUUACAUAUUUUUAAAAAAUAAUUAGAUAGUAUUAUAAUUUUUUUAGUUUAUAUUGAAAGUUGAAAUUAAUAAUAGAAUAAUAACUUUAGUUAUAUAACUUAGAUUGGCUCAGUGUGUUGAACUAGGACUCGGCUGACCCAAAGCCUAAACCAGUAUGAAUUUAAAAAAAAAAUAGAGGAAAGGUUAACCCAACUUGAUCGGGUUAAAACUCAAGUUGACCUAUGACUCGAGAUAAACCCAAGUAAAAAACCCUUGACUUUAUUUUGAAAAAAAAUAUUUGGUCAAAAUGACAUCGUUCUGAUCCUUUGUUUUAAAAUAUUAGGAUUAUUCUAGGUUGAUCUUCUCGAUUCAUGACCUGAUUCAACCACUAGGUCAAAUUUUAAAAUUAUAACAAUAAUUAUUUUUUAUUAUUAUAUAUUUUAGUUGGAUCAUUUUAGAAUUAAAAGUUUUUUCUAGUGGUAUUUUAAGAAUAAAAAAUAUUAUCUUUAAAGAUAUAUCUCCAUGUAUCUUUUAUUUGAAAAAUACAAAAAAUUAUUUUUAAAUUAUUUCAUAAUAUAUUUAUUAUCUAUGUUCUUUAAAUCAAACAUAUUUAAGACCAUCUGUUUCUUUAAUUUCUCUGACAGUAACCAAAUGCCACGGUAUUAUAAUUUUUUUUUUAUGUGAAUGGAAAGAACUACUAAUAACAGGAAGUACCUAUUUUCUAAAUAUUUCAAAAGCAUACAUUAUUUAAUUGCUUGAGGAAAUGUAUAUCAUUCGUAAAAGGGCUCAACCUCAACUUUAUUUAACUUGAACACAACGGAUUUCGGGCUGGAUGUUGAGCAAUAAAACCAAGCGAAGCCACACAGAGAGCCCAAACUAGCCCAAGUUACCGCAACCAAGCGUAGAUCACAUACAACCAAGCUUGUUCCAUAGACUAGGCAACCGAAAGUGUGAUGCUCUUAAAAAAAUUGUUGAAGAUAAAAAUGGUAUUAGAUAUUUAAUAUGCAACUAUAUAUUUUUUUUUAUAAUUGAAAAAUAUUAUUAUCUUUUUUUUUUGGUUAAAAGAAAGAAUUCCCUGAUUAAAUAAUAAAACAAUUUUUUUUAAAAAAAAGAUUUUGCAAAAAUAAUUUUAAAUAAGUUUAAUCGCAUAGAUUUUCUCAACCAUUUAAUUCUUAGUUUGUUUUCAGAUAAAAGUAUAUUAUCAUUUAUUUUUGUGCUUAUAACUGUAUUUGAUUAUAUUUUAAAAAUUUAUUUUGCUUGAAAAUAUAUUAAAUUAAUAUUUUUUAAUUAUUUUAAUAUAUUCAAAAAAAAUUAAAAAAAAAAUCAUGCAAUACAAUAACCCUCCAAAGUCAAAGAAAGUAAUAAAAAAAAAGAGAGAGAGAAACUUCCCGAGACCUUCAGCUCAAGACUUUCCCUUCCAUUCUACAGCCCUCUUUUUUCUCUUGCUUGAUGGAAUGGAGCACCAGGCAGCUAGGCACCACCCAACCAAGGAAAAUAAAAUAGAAAAAGCAUCUGACAGAAUAUCCAGUAUAAAAAAUAAAGAAAAGGAAACUUCCUGAGAACUUCGGCCAUACACUUUCCCUUCCAUUUUUGCAGUCGUUUUUCUCUUGCUUAGUUCUUCUACCUUUUGCUGGUUCACACACUUGAAGUUGAAGCUAAUCCUCCAAAGUCAAACGUUGCCUUUUCAGUGGCAAAUUCCACAACAGAAUUCGAUUUUCUUAUCCUCCUUUUUGAUCUUUCACGUAUUCUAUUCAUCAACCUUAUGGGUUUCUUCUCAUUCAUCCGUCGCUUGAUGCUUAUUCUCUUUGGCACGGCUAAUGAUCUUGUGUUCUUGAGCUUUAGCAAUGAAGAUACAGGAAAGAAUUUUAGUGAUCAUCUCAACUCAGCUCUCACCAUUGCAGGAUUUCGCACGUUUAAAAACGAUGAUGGCGUUCGAAGAGGAGAAAAUACCGGCUCAGAAACCAGAAAAGCAAUACAGGAAUCGAAGAUAUCUGUCAUUGUGUUUUCCAAGGACUAUGCUUCUUCAACACGGUGCCUCGACGAGCUCGUCAUGAUCAUGGAUGCCAGGAGAGCUACUGGGCACAUUGUGCUGCCCAUAUUUUACCAUUUGGAUCCAUCUGAAGUCAGGAGCCAGGAAGGGAGAUGUUUCGAAGCGUUUUCUACACACGAGAAAAGCUUCCAGGGUGAGAAGGGGAGGGUGGAAGAAUGGAGGGCAGCUCUUAGAGAAGCUGCAGAUGUGGCAGGGAUGGUUCUACAAGACAGGUACAUCACAUCCCUACUCUGUUUUCUCUUGAUUCUAGUACGUCACAUCCCUUCAAUGUUUUCUCUUGAAUAAGGCUAUCUAAUCAUAUGGUCAAAAACUCAGUACAAUCAAGAAAAAAAAUUGAAAUAAAGACAGCAUAUAUAACAACAAGAACAAAAUUUCAAUCCCAAACUGAUUGGGGAUGGAUCCUUUUGGCCAUUCAAACGUGCUCGUGAAUGUGAAGUAUAUCCGGGCUUUAGAAACAAAUUCAUAGACAUGCUGUCUUGCCAGAACACAGUAAUGUGAUUUCCUUAACUUGUAAAGUUGCUGUGUUGUGUUUAUCUUAUACGUAGUAGGCUGUAUUUGACACUUCUCCGAAACUGAUACGAGAAUAUUUUUCAAAUAGCCGUAGUUCCUAGCUGCUCCUUGCCUUCGGUUUUGUCAAAGAUAAAUUAGUAGUGGGGCCUUCCAUCAUGUCAAAAUAAAACCAAGACUUAUGGGCCUAAAAUGUGUCCUUUUUUUUCCUUCUAAAAGGAUUCUGGGCCGGGAAUGGAUCCUUAAUUUAGAAACCAAUGGUCCAUGAUAAUUUAUUCUCCUCUCGGUCUUCGUCUCUCUUGGUCUGCCAUAUCAACACCAUAAACCAGUAAAGUUCCAACUGCGUUGACUUGAGUCUAAAAAGUCAUCAAUUCACCAACCGAUUCCAAGAUUUCCCAUUUCACUGUUUUCCUCACAUUAAAUUUUUCAUCCAUUCUUCUCUCCAAAAUGCAUUACGAAGUGUUCUUGAGCUUUAGAGGCGAAAACACCCGUCGAAGUUUUACGGACCAUCUCUACACAGCUCUAUGUAGAGCAGAGAUUCGCGCUUUCAGAGACGACGAUGGGAUCCGGAGAGGAGAGAACAUUGAUUUAGAAAUCAAGAAAGCAAUUCAAGAAACAAAACUAUCCAUUAUUGUGUUUUCUAAAGACUACGCUUCUUCGAGAUGGUGUCUUGACGAGCUAGCGAUGAUCAUGGAACGUAGAAGAGCUGUUGGGCACAUAGUGUUUCCAGUUUUCUAUGAUGUUGAUCCAUCUGAGGUGGGGACCCAAACAGGGAGAUAUGGUGAAGCUUUUGCUAAGCAUCAGAUACGUUUCAAGGACCAGAUGGAGAGGGUGGAGGGGUGGAGGAAGGCUCUUAAAGAAGUUGCAUACAUGGAAGGAAUGGUCUUAGAAGACGGGUACUAACUUUUUUUUUUCUUCGAAAUUUAUUACAUCGAUAGCUUAUAUUUUUGAAUCAGCUAAGCAUUUAGGAAUACUUAAUUUGAGCUUGAUCAUUCCAUACUCGAACAUCUUGCCAUUUACUUGAAAAUGAAGACAUUCACUUACCUGGAACAGUGAUUGCCAACUAUCCUAGGGGAAAAGCGUUUGACGAGAAUGAAAGAAGUCUUGCAACUUACUAGAUAAAUGAAGACAUUGAAGGGAUGUUGUUGGACAUUUCAAAAAUUAGUUUUGAAAGUAAAUUAAAUUCCAGAGUCUUUGCAAGGAAAUCCAAACUUAGAUUGCUCAGGAUUUAUAACUCUGGAGUUAAAAAUAACUGAAAAGUGCACCUUCCUCAUGGCUGGCGUCAAGUUCCUUUCUUAGGAGAUGAGAUAUCUGCAUUGGGAUGAAUAAUUGUUUUGACCUUUGAGAUCUUUGCAUUCCUUUUUUUGUCUGGAGAAACGAAACAAGAAUCUUAUCGAUUUAAAAUAUGCCAGCCUCAGCAAUUGUGAGCGCCCUUCCAUGCCAGAUUUUUUCAAAGGCUAGAAAUUAACCUUGAGAGAUUGAAUUCUCAAUAUUGUUGUACAAGUUUUAUAUGGUCCAAGGUUAUUUCACCGAUUCAAUAUCGAGACAAGCUUAUUGAUUUGGAUCCGAAAAACUGCACAAGCCUUAUCUCUCUUCCGAGUAGAAUUUGUUCAAGAUUUCCCAUCUCUUAACCUUUCUAGUUGUUCACAUAUCAAUAAGAAAGCAUGCAAUUGGCACCAAUAUUUAAACAAGCUAUUGAGAACGAUGAUAUUUGACCAGAAAUUCGAAGGAAACUGCUUUUUUGUUUUGUUUCCGAUUUGCUUAGGAGUCUCAACUUCAAUUGUCACGGUGCUAGACUGCUAGUAAUCUCAGAUAACUGUCUGUUUUACGUCCAGUGCCCUGUGGUUGUGUUUGAUAUGGUGUAUAGGGAAGGGAUGUUUUGAUAACCCUUUUCUUUUCGUGAAGCAAAAAGCCAUUCUAGAAAUGCCAAAAAAUUAACAAAAGAAACCUAACUCUGCCUUGAUUUCAUUACUGAAGCUUUAAUCACUAGCGUUUCUGUGUCUUCUUCAAAGAAAGAAAGAAAAGGUGUUCUGCAUAAGUGCACUGGUCGAUUUAGAACUCUCUCUCCUAAGCCAUUUGAAGUAGCGAUGAGCCUGUGAAUCAAUUGCUACCGCAGUAUUGUCUCUCCAUUCGUUAGGCAUCUUCGAAACACGUGCAUGGAAUUCUUCUUGCUUGCUUCAGCAUCUCUAAAUUACUGAUAUUGUAUGACUUGUUUAUGCAUAUUUAACUAUCAUGGCCAUUCAGCUUACAAGUUAUUUAAACAGUAACGGGAUCUGAGGAUGAUAAACAAGGGCUGGUUCGUUAACUAGCCGCAAUUCAAAUGUAAUUAUUUUUGUUUUUCAUGUUCUUUUAGAAAAGACCGACCAAGCACAUUUCAAUCCUACUCUUAGGAUUGUGCAUUGAAAAUUUCUGAUGGUAUCACCUCAUGCUGGACAUUUAAUAUUCAUCAUAUAUAGUCUGCUUAAGUUGCACAAGGAAAGCCAUAAAACUAGAACAAGCUGAAACAACAGCUAAAAAAUGACUUUCAAGUUUCAAGCUAGAGAGCGCCUUUAAAUCCCCCACGACAGCAUCCAUGAACUCUCCUUUUUGUUUACCCUGUAUUUAGUUAAAAAAAGAUGAUUCAUGGAAACGUAGGUCAUCUUUUUAUCACUCGGGCUAUCUACAAAGCAUUCUCUGAAGAACUUAAUUUGUUCACAAUUUGAUUUGUUCUUGGUUCGAGCUGCCUUAAUCAUCAUGCUAAAAGGUUAUACAUAGGGAUGGAUAUCUCUGAGAUGUUUGCCUUGUAAUUAAAUUUUGAUCGGAACCCUUUUUGAGCCUGAACUUGAGCUAUCAUCUAGCAAGGUUACGCUAGUCUGGGAAGGAGACCAGAAUCUUGGCAGUUUUAAAAGGUCAACCGUAGCAAUUCUAGACCUGCAGAGGAUAGAAGAAACCUUGAGACUUGGAUUUUGUACAAGUUAAUUUGGUGGUGUUUCUUAAUUUGUCAAUUCAGCAUCCACCCAUUUGCAUCGAUGUAUUCCAAGCUGAAUUUUUUUGUAGUAUGUCUCUUCUUCUUCUUCUUCUUCUUCUUGUUCUUGUAUGUUGAUCUGAUGAGGAAUUAGGAAAUUAAUCCGUGAUUUAAUUUGUAUGAAUGUGUGUUUGCAGGUAUGAGUCAAAGUUCAUAGAGUCGAUUGUUAAAGAGAUCGCAGAUAAACUCAACUUCUCACUGCCUCACGCCCCUCCGUCCUCGUUACCACUGUCGGCGGCCCUCCGCCCACCUUCAUAUUUUCUUGGUCUUUUACGAGAGUGGAGGAGGUCUUUCUUUCAGACCCCCUCUCUCUUUUUAUUUUUUUUGUCUUCUUGUUAUGCUUUGUCUUCUUGUAGCAUACGAGAGUGGAGGAGGUCUUUCUUUCAGACCCCCUCUCUCUUUUUAUUUUUUUUGUCUUCUUGUUAUGCUUUGUCUUCUUGUUAUGCUGUGUCUUCUUAACUUAUUAAGAAGACAAAAAAAAUAAAAAGAGAGACGGAGGAUGUAGGGGUAUAGCAGAAGUGUGAAACAAUAGGAACUAAGCACGUGGAUAUCUGUCGGCUGAUGAGAACGAAGGCUGACAGCAUCUGGGACAGCUCACCAACUUUGUCAAAGCAUGGAUUGAUGAAUUAAUUAAAGGAUUGUACUUCAAUGAAUGCUUCUCUCUCUCUGUUUUUUUACUAUUUGUAUGUUUAGAUCCAUCCUUAUGACUGUUACUGAAAAUAAUCAAAAACUUUUUCACGAAUUUUCAGCUCAAAUGAGAUGAUGCAUAAUCAAAGUCUAAGUGAUCUUUUGACGGCUACAAGUAAGUGCAUGCUUAGGGUUCUUCUCAACUAUAUUCUUGCUAAAUUUUUAAAUUGUUUUUUAACACUACGAAAGAAUAACAAUACAAAAGAAUAUAAAAUAUUUCCAAGUAUGAAUCUUAAAACUGAAAAAACAAACUGUUAUAAUCAACGAACGUACCAUUGAUUCUAUAAAUGCCACGCACGCAAACCACAGUAGAAAAAAAACUAUGACAUGAUUUGCAAUCAAAGAUUAAUUAAUUUCCAAGUAUGAAUCUUAAAACUGAAAAAAAGUAUAUCAAUGAAAAAACAUGCUUUUUUAAUCAACAAACUUACCAUUGAUUUUAUAAAUGCCACGCAAACUACAGUAGAAAAAAAUUCAUAACAUAAGAUGUGCAAUCAAAGAUUAGUUAAUGUGUGUAUUUUCAUGGCUUAAUUUUAGAAACUUGUGUGUAUUUUCAAGAUUAGGAUUAUAAGUUAAUUUUCAAUGCUUGAAAAAGUGUGUAUUUUCGGGUGUCAUGAUUUUCUAACAUAGAAAUGAAAAUAUAUUGUUUGUGUUUAAUAAAACAAAUUAAAAAAUAUAUGAACCAACAAAUAAAAAAUAAUUAACGCUAAUUAAAUAUUAAAGUGAAAAGCUAAUAAUUCUAAGUAGAGUAAAAAUUAAAUACACAUGUAAAUAUUUAUCCCUGAUUGUCCUUUGUAUUUUAUAUAUUUUUUUUAUUAUAUAUUAAAAGUUGAUUCUAGCAGUUAAGGAUAAUUUUUUUUAAAAAAAAAUACAUUACAUAAAUAUAAUUUAUUUAUAUAAACUAUAAAAUGAAAAAAAAUAAAUUACAAUUAUCUCCUUAAAGCAGAUGUCAAUAUUAUAAAUAUAUUUUAAGGUAUCCUGAUUUUUUAACAUAGAAAUAAAAAAAUAUUAUUUACAUUUAAUAAAAUAAAUUUAAAAAAUAUAGAAACCAACAAAUCAAAAAAUAAUUAUUAAUGCUAAUUAAAUACUAAAAUGAAGAGCUAACAUUUCUAGCAAAGUAAAAGAUAAAUGAACAUGCAAACAUUUAACCCCGACUACUCUUUCUAUUUUCUAAUUUUUUAUUUAUUAUAUAUUAGAAGUUGAUUCUAGCAACUAAGGACAAUUUAUUUUUAUUUUUAUAAAUAUGUCACAUAAAUAUAAUUUAUUUAUAUAAAAUGAAAAAUGAAAAAAAUAAAUAUAAAUUACAAUAAUCUCUUUGAAGCAUUAUAAAAUUAAAAAAAUUAAUUUAAAAAAAUUAAUUACUAUUAAAAAAGGUUAACCAAACAAUUUUAAAAUAUAAUAGAUAAGAUAUUCAUUAAAAUUUAAAUAAAAACAUUAAUUAAAAGUAAAAAAAAAAGCUGAGGUCAGGCCACAUAUCUGGCUAGAACCUUAUAGCUCCACACACCUUUUUUUUUUUUGUUUUAACAGUGUCAUAUGCUCUAAUUAUUUUUUUAUAAAGGGAUGAUAGGUCGUUUUCCUCUAGAUCAGUUUCUGGUUACUUCUAGUAAUUAAAAUAUUAAAGUUUGAGUUGUGAAAUUUUAAAAACCUAUUUCUCAAUAUUUUUUUACCUGAAAAUAUCCUAAAAGCAUUUAAAAAUCAACUUUUAAUCUUAAAACAAUCUUUAAUCUCCUUAAAAAAUAAAAAUUAAACAAAUAAAAAACAUCAAACCUUUUUAUAAAAAACCUCAAGACCAGAACUUUUCCAAAAACAGCAAACCAAUUGACACUAAGAUAACUCUUUUUUGUGACUAAAAUGUUCACAUUCAGCUACUUUCUUUCUUUUUAAUUUUUUUUUUAGUGAUUUUCUCUAUCUUUUUUCAAUAUUCAGAAACUAAAAUAAAAACUAAAUUAAGUUUAAGAUCAAAAUUUAGAAUGCUAAAAUAACAAGGAUCAAACAAAGGGUUAAUUAAAAACUAUAAAGAACAUAUAUAAGUUUUCCAUUUCAAUAUCUAAAUGGGAUUUGUUUUUUUAAAAUUUAUUAUUAAAAAUUUAUUUUUAAUAUCAUUAAAUAAUAUUCAAAAUUAUCAAAACAAAUUUAACUUUUUAAAAAUUUAAUGUUUUUUAAAAAUGCAUAAAACAAACAAGAUGAGCAUAAUUUACCACAUCACUGUUCAUAUGGGCUCAACUUUGUUGGGCCAUGAGCUUAGUAGUAUAUAAUUUCUUCCAACAGUAACGACAUCUGGUAAGAAGUUCUAAGCGCAGUUGAAGCGCGUGAUAUAUGUCCUCUCGAGUAACCCAAGGUGGAGGAGCAAAGGUAUUAGUUUUUGCUCAUUGCUCGUUCGCCAAUAUUCGUGCACUUGCAGCAUGUUUGAGACCAAUUUUCUAUUAAAAUUAAUUUCAUUUCUGGUAUUUAAAUUGCAUUCAAUGAGUUAAAAUCAUGUAUUUAAAAGAGAUAUAUUAUCAUUGAAUUUAUUUUAUUCUAUUUUCUACAAUACAUUUAUAGUAUUAUUAAUUAUCAAUACUCUUUCAUUUAUAGUAAUUAAAUUUCAACAGGUUUUAUCGCAAGAUAUUGAAGGCAAUGCAAGAAGCUUGUUUACGCAUACAAAAUCCAUUCAUAGUUUCUGAUAGAGAAAAAUCUGUCAUCAUGUAUGGAUAAGCCAUCAAAGAAGCUAUAAACAGUAUCAUCAUCUCGGAAAGAUACACAGAUACCAACCACCUGUUAUCAAGUCCAACCUAUAGAAUCAUUUUCCUUAAAAACGAGAAACACAAGAAAUCUGAUAAAAAAAUCCAAAUUUUCACAUCAAGAAAUAUGAUAUGUGUGCGUGAGGAAAAGAAAUAAAACCAAGAAAACUAAUGAUCUGAGUGUAGAAACUUUUGAAACAAUCAUUUCAUUUUACUGAUAUUUUCUUCAUUGUUAAGAAGUGCUCGUGGGGAUUGCUCUCUUUGAUAUUCGUAACUUCAAUGAUACAAGUUAUUCAUAUCAAGUCUUCGAGAUUUCUUACAAUCUCAUGAAGUUUCAAGGUGACAAGGCAGCUCUUCUCCCGUCUUCUUGUUUUUAACUAAAACUCAAAACUCCACUUAUACUGUAUGGAAAAAGCAUACAAAACCUUCAAAAUAAAAUAAAUAAGCAGAAAAGGCAAGAAAACAACUGGAAGACUCUUGGGUUUUCGAGCUGCUGGCUAGAACAAGCAAAUUGUUGAUUACAGGCCAUGCAUGUCAUGAUUUUACACUUGGGCUUCUGAUAUUUCAGGGGCUUCACAACCUCCCUUGUAAAGUCAGGGUCAUCCCUUCCAAAGUGACCAUAAGCAGCUUGCUGUCCCUCCUCCUUCAUCCCUUGCUACUUGUCAAGUCCUCCGAAUUACUUUAAGAUGCCACAGCAAACAAAGAAGAGAAGGGAUGGUCCAUAAUUGAUUGCUUCCUUCUCAUUUGAAACACAAAGUCCGGAUCAAAGCUUAGAUUCAACUUCAAAAGAAGAAGAAGAAGAAGAAAUCUUCAGUUUCAACAACGCAGAUUAUGAACACUAAGCAAAAUUGGCAAAAGCCUUGGCAAAAUUCAAGAGCAGGAACAGCAGCACUGCUCUGGCUCUCUGAAACUUGGGGGCAACAUGCCAAAUACACUUAACCACUUUCAAAAUCUUUGUCCCGCCACUCCUCGGUGCAUAAUCCAUCUGUCUUUUGUUUCUCCAGAUUCUCCGAAACUUGGUAAAAAAAAGUUUGAUCAUGUGCUUGAUUUGAAGCGGAAUAUUGGUGAACCUUCAAGCUGCCCGCGGUGGCAAUGUUUCUCCGGUGACUGUAUUGUUUCUGUUCUUGAUGGAAUUGUCACUGCUCGGGUUUAGGAGCUGGAAACAGGAGAGAUUCGCCAACUGAAAUUGGCGGGAAAAGACGUCAUUAACAAACUAAAUCGAAAAAGAGAGAAAUGCGGUGAGCGUGGAUCGAACACGCGACCUUCAGAUCUUCAGUCUGACGCUCUCCCAACUGAGCUAUCCCCGCCUGUUUGUUGCUUCUUUUCUGUUAAGCAUUAUGAAGCAAUAAACUUAUUCUAUAACACAUGCAUUUUGCGAGGACAUCUGUGCAUCAUUUCUGCUUUCCGUGCUUUUGCGGUUGUUACUGGGAAAGAAUUUCACAUUAGAUUGAAUUUUCUGGUAAGUUGAAAUCUCAACUUGGCUUAUUAUUGUGGCAAUUACCAGUUAUAUAUUUCAUGUUUAAGAAAUUAGGAUGCCUGUGAUGAAGUUUACGUUAGUUUUGGGGCUGGAAUUUAUUGUAGGAAACCUGUGAUGGAAAUGAAGCAAAUCCUAGACGCUGGUGUGUGUAGCAGCUGCACUUCUUAUACCUGAAGCCAUUGGCUUUCACAAAGAAAAGAGACGUCAUGAUGAUAGAAAACCAUGGAAACACUACAAUAUUUAAUAAUUUUAUUGACAUAAUUUUAUUUUUAUUAAUGUGAGAUUAGCACUUUGUCCGCGAAAAUUUCACCUACUAAUUCAUCGACAAAAUGUGUCUACAAGUAAUUUCAUUAUGUGUCGUUAAUUUUUUUGGUAAAAAAAAUUAAAAACUGAUGGUUUUAUAAAUGAAAAAUGCACGAAAAAAAAACAAUUCUUGCUGGAAAUACACGGAUGAAAUAAAUCUCUUAGGAUAUUUUAUAAAACAUUUCUAGGAAACUGCUUUUUUGUUUUCUUUCCAGUUUGCUUACAAGCCUUAACUUCAAUGGUCGUAAUGGUCGUGGUGCUAGACUGCUAGUAAUCUCAUUACUGAAACCUAACUCUGCCUUUAUUUCAUUACUGAAACUAUAAUCACUAACAACAUGUGUCUCUUUCAAAAAAAGAUAAAAAAAAGAUAACGUGUUCUGCAAAAGCCAAUUGAAGUAGGGAUGAGCUAGUGUAUCAAUUACUAUCCAUUCUUUAGGCAUCUUCCAAACACAUCCAUAGAAUUCUUCGUGCUCGCUUCAUCAUCUCGAAAAAUAAAGUUUUAAGCCAAGAUUGAAUUUUUAAAAUUUAGAGUGAGUAGUUACCUAUUAGAUAAAAAAGAAAAGGGAUUAAAAUGAACUUUUCAAAAAAAAAUUCAAAGUCAUUACCUAUGUAUUUUACAUGUUUUUUUUACUUUUGUCACCUGUCUCUCAAUUCCACUCUCUUCAAAAAUAAAAUAAAAUAUGCAAUUGGAUGUUAACUGAUGCUAAAAAAUAAAUUCAAUAACCAAUUUUGUUUUUUUUAAUCACCGUUGAAAUCUACAGUGGCAAUGAAUAUAAAAAGUAACUGUUGAUCUAGGUUUUGAUUUUCCGCUUGAUGGACUACAGGCCCUGCUUCUUCAGAAGAAACCCAAUUCUAAAUCAAUAUUAAUCGCAUCGGAAAAUCCCAUCCUUCUACUUUCGGCGUUUCUUAUUCACCAUGGCAUCCAGUCCAAUGGGAUUUUAAAACUCAAUUUUCAUUUUCACCUGCAAAACUUAAAAAAAAAAUAUCAUAAAACCUCAUAAAGUCUAUUUUCAAACAAAAACACCAUUUAAUCAUUUAAAACUCUAAAAUCCAUGAUCAGAAAUAACUUUAUAAAAAUUAAAUUGAAAUAAAUUACAAAAUUAAUUACUAAUUAGAGAAUGAAAUUCAAAAAACAAACAAAACCAAGAAGAAUGAUUCUUUUUUUAAAAUAAAACAAAUCACGUUCAGAUGUACACAAUUAGCACUAUCAAAAUUCAAAACAGGAGACACAUAAAAAAAAAAAGCACUUUGGUCAAUAUUGAUGGCUGGGUAAACAUACGUCUCAAAUUUGGGAACCUGAACCGUUGCAUUCUUUCUUCCCUUCCAGCCUCCAGGUACCCUGCCGUUUCACUCCAUUCCCACCGGAAACUUCUAUCUUUCUCAUAUUCCAGUUUAGUUUCGGCAUUUUUUAUUCACCAAUCAGUCCAACAGGUUUGUUCUCACUUAUCAAUCUGUUGAUGCUUCUCCUCUCUAGAAAAGAUUUUUAAUUGACAAACUUAUCAUUUAUCUAAUUAUAUGGUACAUAAUUUUUUUGAUUUACAUUUAAGAUUUUUUUUAUGUACAAAAUAUAUUGAAAAAUUCUAUAUGUUUAAUUUUUUUCUAUUAUGUAUGGAUAUUUUCAAUUUGAUUUUAAUUUCUAUAAAACAAAUAAAAAUUAUUAAUUAAAAAAAUCAAAAUAAAAAAAAUAAAACUAAACACUGGUGAACUUGAUAAGUCAAGCUAUGUGCCUGACACAUUAAGAAAAGACUCACGCGUAAAUGAAGAAAAGACUCACGCGUGGACCGGAAAGGUCAGGGACGCAUGAGUGUGGGCUCUCUUUUCUACAAAACGACGCUUUGUUGAUGGUGCUGCAGCAGCAAGAGAGGCAUAUAACCAAGGAGAAGUGGGGUGCUGACUGGUUGGUUGGUCAUUGACAGCUGGAGUUCAUUAUUUUGAUCCAUCACCAAAAAGAUUUUCGUCGGUGAAAAUGCAAAUGGAGAAGUUUUUAUUUUCGUAUCUGUCAUUCUAUGAUUAUGUCUUUUGAUAAAACAAAGUUUAAGGGCUACCUAAAAAAACAGAACAUGUGCAUCUAGAUUUGGUGGAUAGGUCACUCUAUUUAUUUUACGAUUUAAAAAUAUUUAUUUUAUUUAUUUAAUUUUAAAUUAAUAUUUUUUUAAUGUUUUUAGAUCAUUUUGAUAAACUGAUAUUAAAAAUAUUUCUUUUUUAAAUAAAUAUUUCCAAAUAAAAAAUAUUAUACUCACACUCUUGAACAUAAAAAAAAACCUACUCACAUGUUUAAAUUUUUUUUAAUAAAAAAAUGAAUACACAACGCUUUAUCUUUCCGUGUAAAUUCCACCCCCUCGAGUUAUUAAAAGUUGGAGUUUGAUUUUUAGGAUUUUAAAAGUUAAUUUUCAAUUUAUUUUUAUUUAAAAAACUUUAAAAAUAUUAUAGAAAAUUUUAAAAGAAAAAUAUUAUUUAAAGUGUAUUUGAGAUUGUCGUUAUAGUUGUUUUUAAAGUGUUUUUUAUUCAAAAAUAUAUCAAAAUAAUAUUUUUUUUAUUUUUUAAAAAUUAUUUUUAGUAUCAACGAAACAAAAUAAUCUAAAAAUAUUAUAAAAUAUUAAUUUAAAAUAAAAAAAUUUAAAUUUUGUCAAAAAUAUUUUUAGAACAGAAAAAUAAAUAAGGCUUUAAUCAUUUAAAACUCCAGAAAAUCCACGAUCAACAAAAUUAAUUCCUAAUAAGGGAAUGGCAUUCAAAAAAAUCAAAAAACAAACAUGAAGAAUGAUUUUUUUUUUAUUUUUUUUUUAAAAAAACAAAGCACGUUCAGAUGCACACACUUAGCACAAUCAAAAUUAGUGAACCAUACGUGUCAAAUUUGGCAACCUGAACAAUUUGUAUUCUUUCCUCCCUUCCGGCCUCCAGGUACCCUGAAAAUCCUCCCAACGUUGCCGUUUCACCUAUUCCCAUCGGAAACUUCCCUCUUUCUCAUAUUCCAGUUUAGUUUCGGCAUUUUUUAUUCACCAACCAGUCCAAUGGAUUUGUUCUCACUUAUCAAUCUGUUGAUGCUUCUCCUCUCCAGAAAGGAUAACGAUGUUUUCUUGAGUUUUAGCCACCACGACAUUGGCAAGAAUUUUGGCGAUCAUCUCUACAAGGACCUCAAUUCUGCUGGGAUUCGCACUCUUAGAGAUGAUGGUGGAAUCUACGCAGGACAAAAGUCUGAUAUCAAGAAAGCGUUACAGGAAUCCAGGAUAUCGGUUGUUGUGUUCUCUAAAGGCUAUGCUUCUUCAACAAAGUGCCUCGACCAGCUUGUGCACAUCAUGGAUGCCAGGAAUAAAACUAGGCUCCUUGUGCUUCCCGUUUUUUACAACGUUGAUCCGUCGGAGGUCAGUGAACAGAAAGGGUUGUUUGAAGAAGCAUUUGCUAAACACGAAAAAAGCUUCCAUAAGGAAAUGGCUAGAGUGGAAAGUUGGAGGGCCGCUCUUAAAGAAGCUGCAGACCUGGCAGGAAUGGUGCUGCAGCAAGACAGGUAUACAAGUAAUUGAAUAAUUGUUUUACCUUUUCAGAUCUUUGCCUUCCAGUUUUUUUCUGGAUAAUUUAACCUAGCAAUCAUCUAGAAAGGAAACACGAAUCUUAUCGAUUUAAAAUGGGUCAGUCUUAGCCUUUCAAUACCAGAUUUGAUUUGUUCUUGGUUCCAAAGGUUGCGCUGCACUUUGUUGUUGUGUUUAUUGAUUGUCAAGGAGUAAUCCCUAGGACUGAUCAUGCAUAUAAAAGAAAAAUAGGGACCACAAUGUAGAAAAAGCUCCCCUUGAACGCUACCAAAAAAAAGCAACUUUUUUAAUUUUUUUUUGUGUCAAUCUAAUCCUUUGUCUUUGAUUUUGUUUAAUUCAACCUUAUAAAUAAUGGUAUUUCGUAAUAGCAAUAUGUAAUAGCAAUAUAUAUAUAUAUAUAUUAAAAAACAAUUUUUCAUAGUGCAUACAAUAUAUAUAUAUAUAUAUUAAAAAACAAUUUUUCAUAGUGCAUACACGAAAGCAUACAUAAAAAACAAAUUAUAAAAUAAAAAAACUAUGCAACACAACCCUAUAAAUAAUUAUAUUUAGUAAUAGCAAUAUGUAAACAUGUAAAAUAAAAAACUAUGCAACACGACCCUAUAAACAAAACAAAACAAAUCCUAAAACAAAUUUUUUUUUACCAAAGAAAUAUAAUAAUAUAAAAAAGGGAAAAUUAUGAAAUUAAACACAAUUUUUUUUUUGUCUGUUUAAUAAAUAAUAUAGAAAAUUGAACAUGAACGAAGACUACGGCCGAACAUAUCAAACUUGGGCCGAGCACAUGAACGAAGACACUUUCUAAACAGAUUAAAAAACAAAACCCAACCUUUGGCCUUUCUUCUCUCUUUUUUCUUCCAACAAAGAAUCAAGUGAGAUCUGCAUCUCUUCCAACACAAAAAUCUUUGUUUCUUUCGACAUAUUUCUCUUCGUCAAACCGAUGGCUUUCAACCCAGUGACCCAAAUCUUAAUUCUUCUCUCGUUGAUGCCUAGUACUUACGAUGUGUUCUUGAGUUUCCGAGGCGAAGACACUCGCAGGAACUUCACCGACCACCUGUACAAAGCGUUAUCUAGAGAAGGGAUUCCCACUUUCAGAGACGACGAUGGAAUACGGAGAGGAGAGAACAUUGAGUCAGAAAUCAAUAAAGCAAUUCAAGAAACAAAACUAUCCAUUAUUGUGUUUUCUAAAAAGUACGCUUCUUCGAGAUGGUGUCUUGACGAGCUAGCGAUGAUCAUGGAACGUAGAACUGUUGGGCACAUAGUGUUUCCAGUUUUCUACGAUGUUGAUCCAUCUGAGGUGGGGACCCAAACAGGGAGGUAUGGUGAAGAGUUUGCUAAGCAUGAGAUACAUUUCAAGGACCGGGUGGAGGGGUGGAGGAAGGCUCUUAAAGAAGUUGCAUACAUGGAAGGAAUGGUCUUAGAAGACGGGUACUAACUUCUUUUUUUCUUCGAAAUUUAUUACAUCGAUAGCUUAUAUUUUUGAAUCAGCUAAGCAUUUAGGAAUACUUAAUUUGACCUUGAUCAUUCCAUACUCGAACAUCACGGUUGAGCCACGUAGCUAGGGGGUUGUUUUUUCUUGCUAGUUAACAUGUGAGAAGACAUUCAAUUACCUGGAACCGUGAUUGCCAACUAUCCUAGGGGAAAAUAGUUUGACGAGAAUGAAAGAAAUCUUGCAACUUACUAGAGAAAGAUGACAUUGAAGGGAUGUUGAUGGACAUUUCAAAAAUUAUUUUUGAAAGUAAAUUAAAUUCCAGAAUCUUUGCAAGGAAAUCCAAACUUUGAUUGCUCAGGAUUUAUAAUUCUGGUGUUAAAAAUAACUGUAAAGUGCACCUUCGUCAGGGCUGGCGUCAAGUUCCUUUCAUAGGAGAUGAGAUACUGCAUUGGGAUGAAUAAUUGUUUUUGGUUCUUUGUGAUAGCUACAAGACGCUAUCAUUUAGAGAGGAAACAAGAAUCUUAUCGAUUUAAAAUAUGCAAGCCUUAGCAAUUGUGAGCACCUAUCUAUGCCAGAUUUUUACAAAGGCUAUAAAUUAACCUUGAGAGAUUGAAUCUUCACUUUUGUUGUACAAGUUUAAUAUGGUCAAGUUUACUUCACGGAUUCAAUAUAGAGACAAGCUUAUUGAUUUGGAUCCAAGAAACUGCACAUGCCUUAUCUGUCUUCCGAGUAGAUUUUUUUAAAGAUUUCCUGUCUCUUAACCUCUCUAAUUGUUCAAAUGUCAAUAAAAAGCAUGCAGUUGGUACCAACAAAUUGAAAACGAUGCCCUGAACUUCAAUUGUCAUAGUGCUAGACUGCUAGUAAUCUCAGUUAACUGUCUGUUUUAUGUCCAGAACCUGUGGCUGUGUUUGAUAUGACGUAUAGGGAAAGGAUGUUUUGAUAACCCUUUUCAUUUCGUGAAGCAAAAACAUUGAAGCCAUUCUAGAAAUGCCAAAAAAUAAACGAAAGAAACCUAACGCUGCCUUGAUUUCAUUACUGAAGCUACAAUCACAAACGUUUCUGUGUCUUUUUCAAAGAAAGAAAAAACAAAGGUGUUCUGCAUAAGUGCACUGGUCGAUGUAGAACUCUCCCUCCUAAACCAAUUGAAGUAGCGAUGAGCCUGUGAAUCAAUUGCUACUGUAGUAUUGUCUCUCGAUUAGUUAGGCAUCUUCGAAACACAUGCAUGGAAUUCUUCUUGCUUGCUUCAGCAUCUCUAAAUUAGUGAUAAUUGUAUGACAUGUUUACCCAAACUUAACUAUCAUGGCCAUUCAACUUACAAGUUAUUUGCACAGUAACGGGAUUUGAGGAUGAUAAACAAGGGCUGGUUCGUUAAUUAGCCUCAAUGCAAAUGUAAUUAUUUUUGUUUUUCAUGUUCUUUAAAAAAAGACCGACCAAGCAGAUUUCAAUCCUACUCUUAGGAUUGCAUUGAAAAUUUCUGAUGACAUUUUAUAUUUAUCAUAUAUAGUCUGGUUAAGUUGCAUAAAGACAGCCAUAAAAACUAGAACAAACUGAAACAACAGCUAAAAAAUGACUUUCAAGCUACAUAGCACCUUUAAUACAUCAGCUUAUCUGUGCUUGUAGUAAAAAAAACGAGCUUAUUCAACUUGUAGUAAAAAAAACGAGCUUAUUCAAUUAGUUAGUUGUGCUUAAUUUCAGAAACUGUCAUUUUUGUACUUCUUAGUAAAAAAAAGAUGAUUCAUGGGAACGUAGGCCAUCCUUUUAUCACUCGGUCUAUCUACAUAGCAUUCUCUUAGGAACUUAAUUUGUUCACAAUUUGAUUUGUUCUUGGUUCGAGCUGCCUUAAUCAUCAUGUUAAGAGGUUAUGCAGCACUACGUUGUUGUGUUUAUUGAUUGUCAAGGAGUUUUCCUUAGGACUCAUGCAUGUUGACAAAUGACACACCUUAGUGCAAUAGAGCCGUUUUGUUCCAUGUUUAUUGAAAAAUAAUUCAUCGACUUCUGAAAAAAUAGUAGAAAAAUAAUGUUAAGAUCUACAAGUCUUUGCAAACAUGGACCUCUCUCAAGGACUCAAGUCCCUUUUCUGAGUAGAUGAGGUAUUUACAUAGGGAUGGAUAUCUCUGAGAUGUUUGCCUUGUAAUUAAAUUUUGAUCGGAACCCUUUUUGAGCCUGAACUUGAGCUAUCAUCUAGCAAGGUUAAGCUAGUCUGGGAAGGAGACCAGAAUCUUGGCAGUUUAAAAAGUUCAACCUUAGCAAUUCUAGAGCUGCAGAGGAUAGAUGAAACCUUGAGACGUGGAUUUUGUACAAGUUAAUUUGGUGGUGUUUCAUAAUUUGUCAAUUCAGCAUCCACCCAUUUGCAUCGAUGUAUUCCAAGCUGAAUUUUUUUGUAGUAUGUCUCUUCUUCUUCUUCUUGUAUGUUGAUCUGAUGAGGAAUUAGCAAAUUAAUCCAUGAUUGAAUUUGUAUGAAUGUGUGUUUGCAGGUAUGAGUCAAAGUUCAUAGAGUCGAUUGUUAAAGAGAUCGCAGAUAAACUCAACUUCUCACUGCCUCACGUCCCUCCGUCCUCGUUUCCACUGUCGGCGGCCCUCCGCCCACCUUCAUAUUUUCUUGGUCUUUUACGAGAGUGGAGGAGGUCUGUCUUUCAGACCCCCUCUCUCUUUUUAUUUUUUUUGUCUUCUCACUAAACACUAUUGGUAUCUAAAGAGAGAGUGGGGCGGCGAGUAAAGCAGAAGUGUCGGGUGAUGAGAACAAAAGAAUGGUCCCACAGCCCACCGACUUUGUCAAAGCAUAGAUGGAUGAAUUAAUUAAAGGAUUGGACUUCGAUGAAUGCUUCUCUCUCUUUUUUUUUGACAAUUUGUAUCUUUGGAUCGAUCCUUAUGACUGUAUAUAC